AAGUAUAUGCAUAUUUUAUAUGUAGAAACUGCGAACGGCUCAUUAAAACAGUUAUAAUCUACUUGACAUUUUCUAUAUAAGGAUAACUACGGAAAAGCUGUAGCUAAUACUUGCUUUAGCGCUCUUGACCUCGUGUCUUGAGUGUGUACUUGUUAAGCCUUAUAAGAAAAAAGUUAUUAACUUAAGGAAUUAUAACAAAGAAGUAACACGUAAUGGAUUCAUCCAUUUUUAGUGUGUAUCAAUCGAGUUUCUGACCUAUCAGCUUUUGAUGUUAGGGUAUUGGCCUAACAUGGCUAUGACGGGUAACGGGGAAUUAGAGUUCGAUUCCGGAGAGGGAGCCUGAGAAAUAGCUACCACAUCUAAGGAAGGCAGCAGGCGCGUAAAUUACCCAAUUCUAAAGAAGAGAGGUAGUGACAAGAAAUAACAAUACAAGGCCAAUCUGGCUUUGUAAUUGGAAUGAUGGGAAUUUAAAACCUUCCCAAAAUUCAAUUGGAGGGCAAGUCUGGUGCCAGCAGCCGCGGUAAUUCCAGCUCCAAUAGCGUAUAUUAAAAUUGUUGCAGUUAAAACGCUCGUAGUUGAAUUUCAAAGAAUCGAUAUUUUAAGUAACGCUUCUAGCUAUAAAUCCACAUAACUGAUGCCUCCGCGUAUCGACUUUGUGCGCAUUUUAGCUAUUAUGUGUUCUUUUAAUUAAAAUGAUUCUUUUUAAGAUUCAUCUAUUAAAAAUUUGCUUCGGCAUAAUUUUUUUUGAUGAUCUUGUUACUUUGAGUAAAUUAGAGUGUUCAAAGCAAACAGAUAUAGCAUUUGUGCGUUUGAAUACUACAGCAUGGAAUAACAAAAUUGAACAAGUCAGAAUUUUUUUGUUCUUUUUUCUUAUUUUGGCUUAGUUACGAUUAAUAGGAGUAGCUUGGGGGCAUUUGUAUUCAGAUGUCAGAGGUGAAAUUCUUAGAUUUUCUGGAGACAAACAACUGCGAAAGCAUUUGCCUAAAAUACUUCCAUUAAUCAAGAACGAAAGUUAAGGGAGUGAAGACGAUCAGAUACCGUCGUAAUCUUAACCAUAAACUAUGCCGACUAGGCUUUGGAUGAAAGAUUUUAAAAUAAGAGUUUUUCUUUUCUCUCCGGAGAUUAGAACUCUUAGAUUGCUUCCUUCAGUGCCUUAUGAGAAAUCAAAGUCUUUGGGUUCUGGGGCGAGUAUUCGCGCAAGCGAGAAAGUUAAAAGAAUUGACGGAAGGGCACCACCAGGCGUGGAGCUUGCGGCUUAAUUUGACUCAACACGGGAAAACUCACUAGUUUAAGACAAGAGUAGGAUUGACAGAUUAAUAGCUCUUUCUUGAUUUCUUGGAUGGUGAUGCAUGGCCGUUUUUAGUUCGUGAAUAUGAUUUGUCUGGUUAAUUCCGAUAACGAACGAGAUCUUAACCUGCUAAUUAGCGGCAAAUACGAUAUAUUCUUAUGUAGAAUUGAAUAUAGUGGAUUUGUUGGAUUUUGAAGAAAAUAUUGGAAUUACGUUAAAUGUGAUUCCUUUCCCUUUUCUACUUAAUUUACAUUUCCAUCUAUUUCUUUUUUGCGUAUGAAUGUAUUUGCUUGAUUGUAAAGCUUCUUAGAGGAACGAUGUGUGUCUAACACAAG
rnacentral:rRNA from 1 species